rnacentral:misc_RNA from 1 species
GAUGAAGAACGCAGCGAAAUGCGAUAAGUAAUGUGAAUUGCAGAAUUCAGUGAAUCAUCGAAUCUUUGAACGCACAUUGCGCCCCCUGGUAUUCCGGGGGGCAUGCCUGUUCGAGCGCCAUUUCACCACUCAAGCCUCGCUUGGUAUUGGGCAACGCGGUCCGCCGCGUGCCUCAAAUCGUCCGGCUGGGUCUUCUGUCCCCUAAGCGUUGUGGAAACUAUUCGCUAAAGGGUGUUCGGGAGGCUACGCCGUAAAACAACCCCAUUUCUAAGGUUGACCUCGGAUCAGGUAGGGAUACCCGCUGAACUUAAGCAUAUCAAUAAGCGGAGGA